UACGUAGGGUGCAAGCGUUAUCCGGAAUUAUUGGGCGUAAAGAGCUCGUAGGCGGUUUGUCGCGUCUGCUGUGAAAACUGGAGGCUCAACCUCCAGCCUGCAGUGGGUACGGGCAGACUAGAGUGCGGUAGGGGAGAUUGGAAUUCCUGGUGUAGCGGUGGAAUGCGCAGGAUAUCAGGAGGAACACCGAUGGCGAAGGCAGGUCUCUGGGCUGAAACUGACGCUCAUGCACGAAAGCGUGGGGAGCAAACAGG
rnacentral:rRNA from 1 species